GGGGUGGGCAAGAGGCGAGGCUCGCGAGCACUAGGGGAGGCGAGGGUUGCAAAUCGAAUGGAUGGGCCAGCAGGUGAGGGCGCUUUAUACUGAACCAAAUGGAUAGUUUGAACUUUGAACUGUGCUGGUAGUAGACCGUUUUGGUUCGAUAUGCCCCAAACUUGCUGGUUCGAUAUAGUUUGGCAAACAUUACUUUGAAUUGCAGUCAUCUGAAGUAUGUACCCCUUUUUUUUAAUGAAUUAUCUUAUGCUCAUGUUUGUAGUAUGUAAUUUCUUUUUUCCAAAUAAAUUGUACUUUGCCAUCUUAUGCUUAGAUAAUUUUUUUCCAAAUUUGCAGUAUUCUAAUGUCAAAUCUAAUGAACUUGCUGAAGUUCAUGUGAAUACUUCACCUGGAUCUGUCAAAUAUGUGCUCUCCAAGUAAUAUGGGAGAUAUCAAAUUAACUGUUGUUAAAAGCAAGUUAUAUAUUGCUGAAGUUCAUGUGAAUACUAUGGUUCUUUUCUUUUAAAUUAUUAGAUGAGUGUAUAACCUUCUCUGCAAGACUGGAA
rnacentral:lncRNA from 1 species